rnacentral:rRNA from 1 species
UCACGCUGGCGGCGUGCCUAACACAUGCAAGUCGAACGCGAAAGUCCCGCAAGGGAUCGGUAGAGUGGCAAACGGGUGAGUAACACGUGGGUGACCUGCCCUCGAGUGGGGGAUAACGUCCCGAAAGGGACGCUAAUACCGCAUGACAUCCUGCCUUUGAACAGGUGGAGAUCAAAGCUGGGGAUCGCAAGACCUAGCGCUUGGAGAGGGGCCCGCGUCCGAUUAGCUAGUUGGUGAGGUAACGGCUCACCAAGGCAACGAUCGGUAGCCGGCCUGAGAGGGCGGACGGCCACACUGGGACUGAGACACGGCCCAGACUCCUACGGGAGGCAGCAGUGGGGAAUUGUUCGCAAUGGGCGCAAGCCUGACGACGCAACGCCGCGUGGAGGAUGAAGAUCUUCGGGUCGUAAACUCCUUUCGAUCGAGACGAACGGCUUCCGGGCUAAUCACCGGGAGAGUGACGGUACCGAGAGAAGAAGCCCCGGCUAACUCCGUGCCAGCAGCCGCGGUAAUACGGGGGGGGCAAGCGUUGUUCGGAAUUACUGGGCGUAAAGGGCUCGUAGGCGGCCAACUAAGUCAGACGUGAGAUCCCUCGGCUUAACCGGGGAACUGCGUCUGAUACUGGAUGGCUUGAGGUUGGGAGAGGGAUGC